AUUCAACUGAUGAGUCUCAGACAGGACAAAACGUGCGUCCUGGAU
rnacentral:hammerhead_ribozyme from 1 species